rnacentral:lncRNA from 1 species
AUGACUAUAUCUCCUUUACCUGAAGACUGGAGUCCAGUUAUGGGCCCAGAGGAGGUCAUUGUGACAGAUAUCACCAUCAACUCACUGACUGUGACUUUUAGAGAGGCCUUGGUAGCAAGGGGGUUCUUCAGGAGCUGGGAGAUGGAGAUCUGACAUUACAGAGACUGAGGACGGUCAGAGCGAGGAGGAAAGGGAAUUGGUACAUCCUUUUUUGCAUUGUUGAUUAUGUGCUUGCACAUCUUCCGCCAGUGUUUCAGACUGUUUAUUUGCACUAUUAGUUCUAAUUGAGUUCAAACCUUUCAAAAUGUUGUUUCAGUGAUUACAAUCAGUCAAAGUAACAGUAGCAGGCCAUGCCAUUUAAUGGCAAUAACUGAUAUUAUGAUGAGAUUUUGAACUUGUGUUUGCCAUGAAAAGAACCAAGCCAGUUCUCUGAUACUGGUUUCGAUGGUGUUUUGCAGUGAAGUUUACAGAUUCAACUAACUGGGAUAGAGUUUAUUUGGUCUGGUCAUGUAUUUGCAUGAAAUACAUAAUGCUAGUUCAGAGUAGCACAAUGAAGUAUUCCUAAAAGCCAAGCUGUCACAUAUAUGUCUAUACAUAUUCACAUUGUAUGUAUGUAUGUAUGUAUGUGUAUAUAUAUAUAUAUAUAUAUACUUGGUGAACAUUAUUCUAAUCUUGACCUUCUAAUUUAAAUUGCACACCUCACUCAGAUAGUAUGUAUGUAUGUAUGUGUAUAUAUAUAUAUAUAUAUAUACUUGGUGAACAUAUUCUAAUCUUGACCUUCAAUUUAAAUUGCACACCUCACUCAGUAAAUUAGAAUUAGUGGCCUCAAUACUCAAAAUAUGUAAAAUACAAUUUUGGAAAAUAGCAUUUCAACACUUAGUGUGCCAUCCUUGACAGUUCAUAAACAAAAUAUUAUAGUGUGAAACAAAAUUCUGCACUCCUUGCACAAUUAUGUUCUAACAUUGAGCAUAGUUAUGUGUAUGGAAUAAAGUUUUAUUUUAUUUUCCAACACUAUUGCUUGCUAGUAUCUCAUCUGUUUGGAGUGUUUGUGCAAUUGUUUUUUUUUUGUCCUGCCAAGUAUGACUUAAACUUGCUGUUUAUUUUCGGUGUUAUUUUAGUUCAAGAUGAAAACUGAGACCUGAAGAACAAAAAAAAAAAAACAUCUGUAUCAUCCAUCUCUGGGGGUUUUACUGUUUAAUAUUUGACUUCAUGUGACCUGUAUAUAUUUGAUAGACUAUGUCUGUGCCAAAUGUCUGUGGUUGCUUUUGCUAUUCAGAGUAUUUGCACUUUAAAAUGGAAAACAUGGUAUUAUGAUGCCAUUAAUAAAACCUCUGUGUAACUCUAUCAUUAUCCAUUACUUUUUAUAUUUAAUCAGCAUUACAUAACACUGUGUGGAUUAAUUUAGUCUCAAACCACCUUGGGUUGACAUUGUUCCAGCUCCACAUCUACAUUGUAGGAAGUACACCACACCAGAAGCCAAUUAUUUGUGAAUGGUACAAACAUAUUUUAAUGUACAAUUAAAUAAUUGGCAAAAAAAAAUCUGACCACCAUAGUAACUUUAAAAAAAGAACAGACAACCAACCAACCAAACAAAAACUACUGAUAUCAGAGCAACAGUUUUUGCUCCUCUCAGCAAGCACCAGUGUUAGCAAGAGAACAAUGGGCAAAACUAGGAACCAAAAAACCGUGUGGUUGGUUUUCCAGUCUGUUUUAGAAAAAAGAAAGAAAAAUAAAUUU